rnacentral:lncRNA from 1 species
AAACCUCCCCAAAUCCAACACUUCCAGCAUGUCCAAACUGGGAAACAGGCGGCAGAGUAACACGGGGCAAGACGCCUAAAGGAGCCUGUUUGUGUGCUGUGUGGCCACGUUCUGCUGUGACUGGAUCUUGUCUUCUGCCUGGCUCCUCGAUUUCCGUCCGGCUGGAUUUGGGGACAACACUGCCUGGCGCAGACAGAUCAAUAACGAGGGCGCUGUUAGGAACACGCCACAGUAGUCAGCAUAAUUGAACCGGUGAAUACUUUCAUUUUGCAAAACAACAGCUCCACUCCUCCAGUCCAAAAUAAUAAUGACACUUCAAAGAAGCAUAAAAUGAACAGACUAUUCAAACAAAGGUAAUUUACAUUUUUUUAUUUGAUAAAACCUGACUGAUGUACAAAACGAAAAUAGAAUAUUGUUUACUGGAAAACAGGUCUACAAUCUCUCACACAUCUUCUCUUGCAACAGAUAGAAUUCCAGAAACAUCUAAGUUCCUCUGUGUACAGUUAUUUCUCCUGUAGGAGCCUUUGUAUGGAUGUAAUACACACAUAUAUGUAUAUGCAUAGAGCAUGACAUAAAUAAAACCUGCAAUAGCCUAUAAGAAAGAAGCUCCUAUUUAGAGGAAAGGGUAAGAUACUUUUAUUAUAAUGAAAGCCAGUUCACUUCAUCACUUGGACCAUGGACACUAAUGUAAAUAAAAUGGCUUAAAAAAUAAGACAAUAGUAGUAUUGACUGUAGACUACAAUUUGCACAUUUGUAAUUCUUAUAAAUGAAAUAUUUAAAAUGAUUUGGUGUUGGGCCAGUUCCUUAUGCAUUCUGCAUUCAUGUGUAUAGGAUUCAAAGACGUUCCAAAUAUUGAUCAUAAACCAAGUGUAUAUGAAUUAAUUAAAUAGCAUAUUUCUGGCCCAAAUAUGAGGAAAACCAUAACUUUUUACUGUAAAUCAGGAGAGAUUGUUUUAUCCCCAAAUAAACUAGGAUGUUUCAAGUCAUGUUUCAGCAAUUUGGAGACCUACAAACUAUCUGCAAGCAAGCACAACAACCAUACUCUAAUCUACUAGAUAGUAGUGAGAAUUUAGUGCUUGAAUUCAGGCUGCUUGAAUUCAGUAUAUCCUUCUCUAUGCUGAUUUUCAAGUAGAUAUUCUGUAGCUCAGCUAGAUAAUCUUUUAAAAGCAAAAAAAAAA